GAUGAAGAACGCAGCGAAAUGCGAUAAGUAAUGUGAAUUGCAGAAUUCAGUGAAUCAUCCAAUCUUUGAACGCAUCUUGCGCUCCUUGGUAUUCUGAGGAGCAUGCCUGUUUGAGUGUCAUUAAAUUCUCAACUACACUGACUUUGAUUUGGUGUGGCUUGGAUUUGGGGGGGAAAAUUGUUGUGGGCUUUUUGUAUAGUCUGCUCCCCUGAAAUUGAUUAGCGGUACCUUUGUGGAACUGUCUACAGGUGUGAUAAUUAUCUACAUCCUAGACAUCUGCUGGAAUGCUGCUUUCUAAACCUUACUUGUAUUGACAAUCUUGACCUCAAAUCAGGUAGGACUACCCGCUGAACUUAAGCAUAUCAAUAAGCGGAGGA
rnacentral:misc_RNA from 1 species